CAAAACUUGGUGAGGUAACUGGUGGUUGGCUUCUUUAUAAGGCAGCAGGGGGUUGGGGAAGCCGGAAGCUUUCACUUGUGGCACCUGCAGACUGUGGGUACACAGGCAGGCUUAUCAAAACCUCCAAAAUAGGGGAGAAUUCUGUCCUCUAUAUAGCUCCAGUACAAGAUGAGCUCGAUGUCACUCCCUUGCCACCAUCAUCAGAAGCAGUCCGAGAUAUGCCUAAAGCAAUGUGCAAAAAAUACUGCACCCACUUCAGAUCCUCACAAAUCACAUUAAGACUUGUUCUGAUGUUGUUGUGGUCGAAGAUGGAGAUGAAAGUCAGGAUGAAACUCUGCAUGAUCCACAAGAUGUGGAAAGUGGAAAAAAGAGCAAUGAACAGGCUUGCUGUCCUAUUUGUCUUGAAGAAAUGCCCCUUGACAUCUUGGAAGUUCAUGCCAGUGAAUGUGGGGAAAGGUGUGCAUGCCAAAGAGUAUUACUUUUGGCAUAAAUAGAAAAAUAUUUAUAAAAGUACAGUACUCUUUACCUCAUAUUAGAAGCAGAAUUUUAAUUGUUGUU